GUGCUCGCUUUGGCAGCACAUAUACUAGAAUUGGAAUGAUACAGAGAAGAUUAGGAUGGCCCCUGCGCAAGGAUGACAUGGAAAUUUGUGAAGCGUUUCCUAUUAAA
rnacentral:snRNA from 1 species